rnacentral:tRNA from 10 species
GCGCCUUUAGCUCAGUUGGUAGAGCAACUGACUCUUAAUCAGUGGGUCCCGGGUUCGAGUCCCUGAAGGCGCACCA